rnacentral:rRNA from 1 species
GACGAACCGUGCGAACGUUAUUCGGAAUCACUGGGCUUAAAGCGCGUGUAGGCGGCCCGGCACGUCUCCUGCUGAAAUCCCCCGGCUCAACCGGGGAACGGGCGGGGAUACGACCGGGCUGGAGGGGGGUAGGGGGCGCCGGAACUUCCGGUGGAGCGGUGAAAUGCGUUGAGAUCGGAAGGAACGCCCGUGGCGAAAGCGGGCGCCUGGACCCCGCCUGACGCUGAGACGCGAAAGCCAGGGGA